CUCCCUACGGGAGGCAGCAGUAGGGAAUCUUCCACAAUGGACGAAAGUCUGAUGGAGCAACGCCGCGUGAGUGAAGAAGGGUUUCGGCUCGUAAAGCUCUGUUGGUAGUGAAGAAAGAUAGAGGUAGUAACUGGCCUUUAUUUUACGGUAAUUACUUAGAAAGUCACGACUAACUACGUUCCAGCAGCCGCGGUAAUACGUAGGUGGCAAGCGUUUUCCGGAUUUAUUGGGCGUAAAGCGAGUGCAGGCAGUUCAAUAAGUCUGAUGUGAAAGCCUUCGGCUCAACCGGAGAAUUGCAUCAGAAA
rnacentral:rRNA from 1 species